UGGCAAUUCUGUAGUAACAUGCAAGUCUGGGAAAAUCUUAACAUUAUCUAUUGGGCUCAGAGAGCUUAUGGAAGAAGCUGUUUUUAACAGCCAAAGAAAAGAGAUUUCCUUGCUAUUCUACUCUGAGAUGCUCCAGGUGUCAGAUGUUGGAGAUACUGGAAAAGUUGCAGGCCAAGGUUUUAGGAGGCAUAACUUAGGACUCCAGAAAGGAAGAAAGGGAAGAAAAAAGGAAAGAAGGAAGGAAAGAAGAAAAGAAGGAGGAAGAAAAAAAGGAAAGUUGAAGAAAGAAAAGAAAGGAGGAAAUAAACAUUUAUUAACUGCCUAGUGUGUUCCAAGAAAUGCACUAAACAUUUUGCAAAGAUGAUUCCAUCUGAUCCUCACAAUCCUGGG